rnacentral:rRNA from 1 species
AUUGAACGCUGGCGGCAUGCCUUACACAUGCAAGUCGAACGGUAACAGGUCUUCGGAUGCUGACGAGUGGCGAACGGGUGAGUAAUACAUCGGAACGUGCCCGAUCGUGGGGGAUAACGGAGCGAAAGCUUUGCUAAUACCGCAUACGAUCUACGGAUGAAAGCAGGGGACCGCAAGGCCUUGCGCGGACGGAGCGGCCGAUGGCAGAUUAGGUAGUUGGUGGGAUAAAAGCUUACCAAGCCGACGAUCUGUAGCGGGUCUGAGAGGACGACCAGCCACACUGUGACUGAGACACGGCCCAGACUCCUACGGGAGGCAGCAGUGGGGAAUUUUGGACAAUGGGCGCAAGCCUGAUCCAGCCAUGCCGCGUGCAGGAUGAAGGCCUUCGGGUUGUAAACUGCUUUUGUACGGAACGAAAAGACUCUUUCUAAUAAAGAGGGUCCAUGACGGUACCGUAAGAAUAAGCACCGGCUAACUACGUGCCAGCAGCCGCAGUAA